GACGAACGCUGGCGGCGGGCUUAACACAUGCAAGUCGAACGGAAAGGCCCUGCUUUUUGGUGGUUCUCGAGUGGCUAACGGGUGAGUAACUCGUGAGUAACCUGCCCUUUACUUUGGGAUAACUUCAGGAAACUGGGGCUAAUACCGGAUAGUAGCUCCGGCUGCAUGGUGGGGGGUGGAAAGUUUCGGCGGUUGGUGAUGGACUCGCGGCUUAUCAGCUUGUUGGUGGGGUAGUGGCGUACCACGGCUUUGACGGGUAGCCGGCCUGAGAGGGUGACCGGGGACAUUGGGACUGAGAUACGGACCAGACGCCUACGGGAGGCAGCAGUGGGGAAUAUUGCACAAUGGGCGGAAGCCUGAUGCAGCAACGCCGCGUGCGGGAUGACGGCCUUCGGGUUGUAAACCGCUUUAGCCUGUGACGAAGCGUGAGUGACGGUAAUGGGUAAAGAAGCACCGGCUAACUACGUG
rnacentral:rRNA from 1 species